AGAGGGUGCGAGCGUUGUUCGGAAUUACUGGGCGUAAAGGGCGCGUAGGCGGCCAUCUAAGUCGGACGUGAAAGCCCCAGGCUUAACCUGGGAACGGCGUCCGAUACUGGGCGGCUUGGAUUCGGGAGAGGGAUGUGGAAUUCCAGGUGUAGCGGUGAAAUGCGUAGAUAUCUGGAGGAACACCGGUGGCGAAGGCGGCAUCCUGGACCGAGAUCGACGCUGAGGCGCGAAAGCUAGGGGAGCAAACGGGAUUAGAUACCCCGGUAGUCCUAGCCCUAAACGAUGAGUGCUUGGUGUGGCGGGUAUCGAUCCCUGCCGUGCCGAAGCUAACGCAUUAAGCACUCCGCCUGGGGAGUACGGUCGCAAGGCUG
rnacentral:rRNA from 1 species